CCCCUGUGCUGCCCGCUGCUGGGCAGAAAUGGGGAAAAAAAGACCAAAAAACUCCACGAUAUCGCCUUGGAAAUGCUUUCAGAAGGUGCUGCAACAAAUCCUGAUAAGAUUUGCAAGUGAUUUCAAGUGAUUGCAUGGCUGUUUUUCAAGAUACGAAGGGAGAGGAAAGGAACGAUGAACUCCGUAUUCAUGUGAGGUGCACUUUUGGAAAGACAACUCCAGAUGAAAUUCAAAUGAACAGAAGAGAAGGGGACUAACGCAAGAGAAAGGGGCCGUGACUUCCAUAAAAUCAGCCAGCAGCUCAGUGACACAGUACUGUCUGUGGACCCACAUCAGAAUUGAGAUAACAACUCCCUUGUGCAUGGCCUUGUUCAGUUACAGUCACAGACUGUCAUAAACCCUGCUCUCAAGGAUACUAGAACUUACUCCAUUUGGAAAAUCUCCGGAAGAUUGAACCUGUAGUACAGGGCUGAACUGAAAACUGGUGACAAGCAGAAUCUGAGCUACCAGGACAGCAAAGGACAGGUUGGCAUGGAUAUGAUAGCGUUGGUUGCGGAUGGUGCUCACAG